GGAGGAAGGUCGGCUGAGUCGGCCGGAUCAAGAGCGCUGGAGGAUGCCGGUCGACCGGAUUGUAAAAGUCACAAGGGGCAAAGGUGGCCUAAUACCGAGCGGUAUGGAUCAAGUGGAUGUGGGGUCGAGGAAGCAUUAAAAGGCUUUGAUGAAGAUGUAACGGAAGGUAUCGCAAAUCAAUGAAAUUAAUGGUCAGUUAUGAAUACAUCGUCUAUAAAUAGGAACAGCAGGGGCAGG
rnacentral:lncRNA from 1 species